UACGUAGGGGGCAAGCGUUGUUCGGAAUCACUGGGCGUAAAGGGCGCGUAGGCGGCUUUAUAAGUCGGGGGUGAAAGCCUGUGGCUCAACCACAGAAUUGCCUUCGAUACUGUAGAGCUUGAGACCGGAAGAGGUAAGUGGAACUGCGAGUGUAGAGGUGAAAUUCGUAGAUAUUCGCAAGAACACCAGUGGCGAAGGCGGCUUACUGGUCCGGUACUGACGCUGAGGUGCGAAAGCGUGGGGAGCAAACAGG
rnacentral:rRNA from 1 species